UACGAAGGGGGCUAGCGUUGCUCGGAAUCACUGGGCGCAAAGCGCACGUAGGCGGCUUUCUAAGUCAGGGGUGAAAUCCUGGAGCUCAACUCCAGAACUGCCUUUGAUACUGGAGAGCUUGAGUCCGGAAGAGGUGAGUGGAACUCCGAGUGUAGAGGUGAAAUUCGUAGAUAUUCGGAAGAACACCAGUGGCGAAGGCGGCUCACUGGUCCGGUACUGACGCUGAGGUGCGAAAGCGUGGGGAGCAAACAGG
rnacentral:rRNA from 1 species